AUUUAUGGUGGCCAUGCGCAGGGCUCCUUCGGGAGCGCCGGGUUCUUGUGCGACCGGUCUACCAACCUUCGUAUGGCCACCCCCCUU
rnacentral:antisense_RNA from 1 species